GCACUGAUGACAAGUCUCAAACAGGACGAAACAGCUGUCCAGUGC
rnacentral:hammerhead_ribozyme from 1 species